UACGAAGGGGGCUAGCGUUGCUCGGAAUCACUGGGCGUAAAGCGCACGUAGGCGGAUCUUUAAGUCAGGGGUGAAAUCCCAAGGCUCGACCUUGGAACUGCCUUUGAUACUGGGGAUCUCGAGUCCGGAAGAGGUGAGUGGAACUGCGAGUGUAGAGGUGAAAUUCGUAGAUAUUCGCAAGAACACCAGUGGCGAAGGCGGCUCACUGGUCCGGUACUGACGCUGAGGUGCGAAAGCGUGGGGAGCAAACAGGG
rnacentral:rRNA from 1 species